rnacentral:rRNA from 1 species
UUGUGUGAAUACAUAGCACAUUCGAGGUAGACGCAGAGAACUGAAACAUCUAAGUACCUGCAGGAAGAGAAAGAAAAUUCGAUUCCCUGAGUAGCGGCGAGCGAAACGGGAAAAGCCCAAACCAGCAAGCUUGCUUGUUGGGGUUGUAGGACUCCAAUAUGGUAGUUCUUUCAGAUAGUCGAAUGACUUGGAAAAGUCAGUCAAAGAGGGUAAAAACCCCGUAGACGAAAUGUGGAAGACACCUAGGAGGAUCCUGAGUACGGCGGAACACGAGAAAUUCCGUCGGAAUCCGGGAGGACCAUCUCCCAAGGCUAAAUACUCCCUAGUGACCGAUAGUGAACCAGUACCGUGAGGGAAAGGUGAAAAGCACCCCGGAAGGGGAGUGAAAUAGAACCUGAAACCGUGUGCCUACAACAAGUCAAAGCCCGUUAAUGGGUGAUGGCGUGCCUUUUGUAGAAUGAACCGGCGAGUUACGAUUGCAUGCGAGGUUAAGUUGAAGAGACGGAGCCGCAGCGAAAGCGAGUCUGAAUAGGGCGUUUGAGUAUGUAGUCGUAGACCCGAAACCAUGUGAUCUACCCAUGUCCAGGUUGAAGGUGCGGUAAAACGCACUGGAGGACCGAACCCACGUACGUUGAAAAGUGCGGGGAUGAGGUGUGGGUAGCGGAGAAAUUCCAAACGAACUUGGAGAUAGCUGGUUCUCUCCGAAAUAGCUUUAGGGCUAGCCUCGGAAUUGAGAAUGAUGGAGGUAGAGCACUGUUUGGACUAGGGGCCCAUCUCGGGUUACCGAAUUCAGAUAAACUCCGAAUGCCAUUCAUUCAUAUCCGGGAGUCAGACUGUGAGUGAUAAGAUCCAUAGUCGAAAGGGAAACAGCCCAGACCACCAGCUAAGGUCCCAAAAUAUAUGUUAAGUGGAAAAGGAUGUGGGGUUGCACAGACAACUAGGAUGUUGGCUUAGAAGCAGCCACCAUUUAAAGAGUGCGUAAUAGC